rnacentral:rRNA from 1 species
UAAGGAAUAUUGGUCAAUGGACGCAAGUCUGAACCAGCCAUGCCGCGUGAAGGAUGAAGGUCCUCUGAAUUGUAAACUUCUUUUAUCUGGGACGAAAACGGGAUUUUUAUCUCAAUUGACGGUACCAGAGGAAUAAGCACCGGCUAACUCCGUGCCAGCAGCCGCGGUAAUACGGAGGGUGCGAGCGUUAUCCGGAUUUACUGGGUUUAAAGGGUGCGUAGGUGGGCUUAUAAGUCAGUGGUGAAAUCUCCGAGCUUAACUUGGAAACUGCCGUUGAUACUAUAGGUCUUGAAUUAUCUGGAGUUAAGCGGAAUAUGUCCUGUAGCGGUGAAAUGCUUAGAUAUGACAUAGAACACCAAUUGCGAAGGCAGCUUACUACAUAUAAAUUGACGCUGAGGCACGAAAGCGUGGGGAUCAAACA